GGCAGGAUAAACUAAUGGUAGGUUGACAGCCUCAUAAGCUGGAUAGUAGUGGUUCAAGUCCACUUCCUGCAACCA
rnacentral:tRNA from 1 species